rnacentral:misc_RNA from 1 species
UUUCCGCAGGUGAACCUGCGGAAGGAUCAUUAAUGAGUUGUCAUGGGGUUCGAUGCUGGCAGCCAAUUUUUGGAUGCAUGUGCUUGCCCUAACAAUCAUCUUCCAAACACCUGUGCACAUUUUUGAGGGAGUCUUGAGUUGGUUGCCGCUCUUGGGUGAUUUUCUCACAUUCCCUUAAAUCAUUAUACGCUAUUAACAAUGUUGAACGUGCUCUGUGCCGCAAGGCUAUUAAUAUAAUACAACUUUUAACAACGGAUCUCUUGGCUCUCGCAUCGAUGAGAACGCAGC